rnacentral:sRNA from 1 species
AGCUCGCACGGGUCGACCGCGCGACUGGCCAGCAGGUAGUCCCGCAUCACGAUCGCGUGCCGGCCCUC